GUUGGAUGUGAAACCCAUGGGCUCAACCCAUGGCNUGCAUCCAAAACUGUGUUUCUUGAGUAGUGCAGAGGUAGGCGGAAUUCCCGGUGUAGCGGUGGAAUGCGUAGAUAUCGGGAGGAACACCAGUGGCGAAGGCGGCCUACUGGGCACCAACUGACGCUGAGGCUCGAAAGCAUGGGUAGCAAACAGGAUUAGAUACCCUGGUAGUCCAUGCCGUAAACGAUGAUUACUAGGUGUUGGAGGAUUGACCCCUUCAGUGCCGCAGUUAACACAAUAAGUAAUCCACCUGGGGAGUACGACCGCAAGGUUGAAACUCAAAGGAAUUGACGGGGGCCCGCACAAGCAGUGGAGUAUGUGGUUUAAUUCGAAGCAACGCGAAGAACCUUACCAGGUCUUGACAUCGGAUGCAUAGCCUAGAGAUAGGCGAAGCCCUUCGGGGCAUCCAGACAGGUGGUGCAUGGUUGUCGUCAGCUCGUGUCGUGAGAUGUUGGGUUAAGUCCCGCAACGAGCGCAACCCUUGUUAUUAGUUGCUACGCAAGAGCACUCUAAUGAGACUGCCGUUGACAAAACGGAGGAAGGUGGGGAUGACGUCAAAUCAUCAUGCCCCUUAUGACCUGGGCUACACACGUACUACAAUGGCGAUCAACAGAGGGAAGCAAAACCGCGAGGUGGAGCAAAACCCUAAAAGUCGUCUCAGUUCAGAUUGCAGGCUGCAACUCGCCUGUAUGAAGUCGGAAUUGCUAGUAAUCGCGGAUCAGCAUGCCGCGGUGAAUACGUUCCCGGGCCUUGUACACACCGCCCGUCACACCAUGGAAGUCGGUAACGCCCGAAGUCAGUAGUCUAACCGCAAGGGGGACGCUGCCGAAGGCGGGAUCGGUAACUGGGGUGAAGUCGUAACAAGGUAACCA
rnacentral:rRNA from 1 species